CCUACGGGAGGCAGCAGUAGGGAAUAUUGUGCAAUGGGCGCAAGCCUGACACAGCCAUGCCGCGUGUGUGAAGAAGGCCUUCGGGUUGUAAAGCACUUUCAGCGGGGAGGAAGAAGCCGGGGCGAAUAACCACGGUGGAAGACGUUACCCGCAGAAGAAGGACCGGCUAACUCCGUGCCAGCAGCCGCGGUAAUA
rnacentral:rRNA from 1 species